rnacentral:rRNA from 1 species
AACGAACGCUGGCGGCAUGCCUAACACAUGCAAGUCGAACGAGACCUUCGGGUCUAGUGGCGCACGGGUGCGUAACGCGUGGGAACCUGCCCUUAGGUUCGGAAUAACUCCCCGAAAGGGGUGCUAAUACCGGAUAAUGUCUUCGGACCAAAGAUUUAUCGCCUUUGGAUGGGCCCGCGUUGGAUUAGCUAGUUGGUAGGGUAAAAGCCUACCAAGGCGACGAUCCAUAGCUGGUCUGAGAGGAUGAUCAGCCACACUGGGACUGAGACACGGCCCAGACUCCUACGGGAGGCAGCAGUGGGGAAUAUUGGACAAUGGGCGAAAGCCUGAUCCAGCAAUGCCGCGUGAGUGAUGAAGGCCUUAGGGUUGUAAUGCUCUUUUACCCGGGAUGAUAAUGACAGUACCGGGAGAAUAAGCUCCGGCUAACUACGUG